UACAGAGGUCCCAAGCGUUGUUCGGAUUCAUUGGGCGUAAAGGGUGCGUAGGCGGCGCGGUAAGUCGGGUGUGAAAUCUCGGGGCUUAACUCCGAAACUGCAUUCGAUACUGCCGUGCUUGAGGACUGGAGAGGGAGACUGGAAUUUACGGUGUAGCGGUGAAAUGCGUAGAUAUCGUAAGGAAGACCAGUGGCGAAGGCGGGUCUCUGGACAGUUCCUGACGCUGAGGCACGAAGGCCAGGGGAGCAAACGGG
rnacentral:rRNA from 1 species